rnacentral:rRNA from 1 species
UACGAAGGGGGCUAGCGUUGUUCGGAAUUACUGGGCGUAAAGGGCGCGUAGGCGGCCUGCUAAGUCGAACGUGAAAUCCCCGGGCUCAACCCGGGAACUGCGUCCGAUACUGACAGGCUCGAAUCCGGGAGAGGGAUGUGGAAUUCCAGGUGUAGCGGUGAAAUGCGUAGAUAUCUGGAGGAACACCGGUGGCGAAGGCGGCAUCCUGGACCGGCAUUGACGCUGAGGCGCGAAAGCCAGGGGAGCAAACGGG